CGCUCGUCAGAGAUUUUACGAAAACGUCGACAUAAAAACGUAAUGUCACAGCAUUGUACUUUAGUAUAUAGAUACACACCUAUAUUAUAAUAUUCCCGUUUUAAAAUUCAAUUUGGAUGUGCCCAGAAAUGUUAUUUUCCACAUUUUAGCAGUUAGCCAAGGGGCCCCAUUAUCGUUCGUCCAACCACUUUCAAUGGAGAAUUCUCAAGUUUGAAGCUGCGCAAGGCAGAUGCUACACAUACGGUUUGAGAGCGUGUUUACCCACUCCAAUCUCAAAAAUUAACGGAAGAAACGGUCGUGGACGAUAAUGGGGUCUGGAAAUGUUGGAGUUUGAAUGGACGAUAGCUAUGGUGUGGCUCACUACUACAAUAGCAAAGAUUAACGACCUGUGGAUCAAUGAUCCCUCUGCACAUUGCAGCAUCUUGACAUCACAGUAUAUGGAUCUCACAUUUAUCACCUGGAUUCCAUUUCCGGAGUUUGAAAUACAAUCACAGGAAUGAAGCCGCCAUUUUCACAAGGUUGACAGGACAAGGUGAUGAAAGUAUAAGACAAUAAAGUAUCCUCACACUGGUAGUCUUUUAUUUACAGAGACUAUUUUUUUAAUCAUAGAUGUUUGGGAUGAGCUGGCCUUUUUUUUUUUUUUACCAUUAAAACCAAAACAUCCACCACUAAACUAAGCAGAAAAUCAUAGUGUCUGAGGGAGAAGUUUGUGGUUUUCAGUGACAGGCAGUGCUACUCAACACGUGCAAGACAUGAGCUCUGACAAUAUAUUACUUGCUGUUAUCAUUUAACUAAAUACUGUAUUUAUUUAUUCUGGAACUGAUGCAAAGCUGACUUGGCUGAAUGUGCCCCUUGAGUAUCAAUGUCUCCAACAACAUAAGAGCUGAAUACGACACUUUAGUGC